AUGCACUCUGUUUAUUUUACUUUACCCAAACUUCCAAAAAUAACUAUUAUUUCAUGCUGGCAGGCUCUAGAACGCAGGCUGAAGGACACAAGAAGCAGUCUACACGCAGGCGAGCCGGCUUUGAGCUCCCAGGGUGUCCUCCGUGUGGUCGCAAGGUAAUGAUGCUUGAAUUGAACUUCUACUAAGGUAAAGUUGAUGGGACUAUGCUUUUCCCAGAUAUUUUUAUCUGUAGAAUUUAGCUAAAUUACUGAAGUAAUGUUUUUCACCUUGGUAAAGAUUAUUGCCUUUGGAUAGUCAUUCCAAACAUAAGGAACAUAAGGCUUUUUUUGAAGCCAGGUGUGCUUAACCACUGAACCACAUCCCCAACCCUUUUCAUAUUUUAAUCUUGUUAGGUUGCUUGGGGCCUUGCUAAGUUGUUGAGGCUGGCUUUGAACUCGCAAACCUCCUGCCUCAGCCUCCUGAAUCGCUGGGAUUACAGGUGUGUGCUACUGAGCCCGACACUUUUAGGUAAAUUUUUUAAAUGACAUAGUAGGAUUCUCCCCCCGCUCCCC
rnacentral:lncRNA from 1 species